rnacentral:rRNA from 1 species
CGGCGUGCCUAAUACAUGCAAGUCGAACGCACUGACGUCGACAGAAGGUGCUUGCACUGGAAGUUGAUUGACGUGAGUGGCGGACGGGUGAGUAACACGUGGGUAACCUGCCCUUAAGCGGGGGAUAACAUUUGGAAACAGAUGCUAAUACCGCAUAAAAGUUGAGAUCACAUGGUCUUAAUUUGAAAGACGGCCUUUGGCUGUCACUUAAGGAUGGACCCGCGGCGUAUUAGCUAGUUGGUAAGAUAAUAGCCCACCAAGGCGAUGAUACGUAGCCGACCUGAGAGGGUAAUCGGCCACAUUGGGACUGAGACACGGCCCAAACUCCUACGGGAGGCAGCAGUAGGGAAUCUUCCACAAUGGACGAAAGUCUGAUGGAGCAACGCCGCGUGAGUGAAGAAGGUUUUCGGAUCGUAAAACUCUGUUGUUGGAGAAGAACAGGGACUAGAGUAACUGUUAGUCCUUUGACGGUAUCCAACCAGAAAGCCACGGCUAACUACGUGCCAGCAGCCGCGGUAAUACGUAGGUGGCAAGCGUUGUCCGGAUUUAUUGGGCGUAAAGCGAGCGCAGGCGGUUUCUUAAGUCUGAUGUGAAAGCCUUCGGCUUAACCGAAGAAGUGCAUCAGAUACUGGGAAACUUGAGUGCAGAAGAGGAAAGUGGAACUCCAUGUGUAGCGGUGAAAUGCGUAGAUAUAUGGAAGAACACCAGUGGCGAAGGCGGCUUUCUGGUCUGUAACUGACGCUGAGGCUCGAAAGUAUGGGGAGCGAACAGGAUUAGAUACCCUGGUAGUCCAUACCGUAAACGAUGAAUGCUAAGUGUUGGAGGGUUUCCGCCCUUCAGUGCUGCAGCUAACGCAUUAAGCAUUCCGCCUGGGGAGUACGACCGCAAGGUUGAAACUCAAAGGAAUUGACGGGGGCCCGCACAAGCGGUGGAGCAUGUGGUUUAAUUCGAAGCUACGCGAAGAACCUUACCAGGUCUUGACAUCUAGCGCCAAUCCUAGAGAUAGGACGUUCCCUUCGGGGACGCUAAGACAGGUGGUGCAUGGUUGUCGUCAGCUCGUGUCGUGAGAUGUUGGGUUAAGUCCCGCAACGAGCGCAACCCUUAUGAUUAGUUGCCAGCAUUUAGUUGGGCACUCUAAUCAGACUGCCGGUGACAAACCGGAGGAAGGUGGGGA